UACGAAGGGGGCUAGCGUUGUUCGGAAUUACUGGGCGUAAAGCGCACGUAGGCGGAUAUUUAAGUCAGGGGUGAAAUCCCGGGGCUCAACCCCGGAACGGCCUUUGAUACUGGAUGUCUUGAGUCCGGAAGAGGUGAGUGGAAUUGCGAGUGUAGAGGUGAAAUUCGUAGAUAUUCGCAGGAAUACCAGUGGCGAAGGCGGCUCACUGGUCCGGAACUGACGCUGAGGUGCGAAAGCGUGGGGAGCAAACAGG
rnacentral:rRNA from 1 species